rnacentral:rRNA from 1 species
UACGGAGGAUGCGAGCGUUAUCCGGAUUUAUUGGGUUUAAAGGGUGCGUAGGCGGACUAAUAAGUCAGUGGUGAAAUCCUGCAGCUUAACUGCAGAACUGCCGUUGAUACUGUUAGUCUUGAGUUCGGUUAAGGUAGGCGGAAUGUGUAAUGUAGCGGUGAAAUGCUUAGAUAUUACACAGAACACCGAUUGCGUAGGCAGCUUACUGGACCGACACUGACGCUGAGGCACGAAAGCGUGGGGAGCGAACAGG